UACGUAGGGGGCUAGCGUUGUCCGGAUUUAUUGGGCGUAAAGAGCGUGUAGGCGGCCAGGUAGGUCUGCUGUGAAAACUCGAGGCUCAACCUCGAGACGUCGGCGGAAACCGUAUGGCUAGAGUCCGGAAGAGGAGAGUGGAAUUCCUGGUGUAGCGGUGAAAUGCGCAGAUAUCAGGAAGAACACCCGUGGCGAAGGCGGCUCUCUGGGACGGUACUGACGCUGAGACGCGAAAGCGUGGGGAGCGAACAGG
rnacentral:rRNA from 1 species